GUGGGACUAAUCAUUUAAGUAGCCCCCAAACUCCGAUUAGAGAAUGUCUGCAGAACUCUUGCCAGAGGAGAUCUGAGAAACUGAAAUAUGGUACCUGCCAAGAACAAGCCUUUUGGCACUGUAGCCACUUCAAGACACUUGGCAAAUUUCAUCAGGUGUCAGCAAUAGAUCUAAACAUAUUAGACUUAAGAGAACAAAGGAGAGAUCUCUGUGGGGCCUAAAAGGAAGCCUGUUGCUAAAUCAGCAAGAGAAAGAAGAACUAGCAUCUACUGAGUGGCAGGCAUCAUACAUCCACGAUUUCACCUGCAUCUCUAGUGCAACCCUUCCAGAUAGGCUUGAUGAUCCCCAUUUUAUAGAUGAGGAAAUUCAGGAUCAGGGAGACUAAAGAGCUUGCCCUGGGAGAGAGCCACAGUCCAUGAUCUUUGGUCUACUGCCUGUUACCAUUAGGUAUAUUCUUGGUUUUCAGUCUCCUAUGAGAAUUUAAAGCAGACAUAAGUUGUUCAUAGAGCCCAACAUCUGGACUUUCCAAUCACCCUCUCGUCACCCUCCUGCUCACCCUAAUUCCUCUUCCUUCAAAUAAUAAAAACAUGAGUUUGCAGUGCCCACAGGAGCUACAACACCAAGAGAUACUUGGACUUAGAGAUAACCCACUUUGUUGCUUUUCUUCUUUCUCCCCAAGUCCUGUUUCUUAGCAAAGGUUGGGUCACCAGUGUCUCAGUCACCAGUGUCCGGCACUGUGCCCAGCACACAGUGGGCUAAUAUGGAUGCUGCUACUGAUAAAUAAUUGAGAAAGAGCUGCAUGUGCCAGGGAGGAGUUAAGGUGGAGAUGGUUCUGAGGACAGAAGAGGAGCCAGUGCUGGCUGAGUCCUCCCAGGCACGCAACCCACAGAGGUUCUGGGAAAGCUGCUGGGCUGUACCAGCUGGCCCCGCCGGCCUCUGUCCACUGACUCACCUGUGUGGAACACGUGACUGGCUCCCAACAGCGCAGGCAGAAUUCCCAGCCUGGCAUCAAAGCUGCUACUAUUGGAGGAGGAAGAGGGUCUUGCUCCCUCCCAUCUGCUGCCUGGGGGCUUCCUAUUGGCUUGUGGUUCCUGUGAGCAUCACCCCAGCAAUGCUUCUUCAUCCUGGCAGUAAAGGUGCCUUCCUGUACCAGCAGCUGAAUCCAGCGUGUUUCUUCUUUGGGAUAUUUGGAGCCAAUCAAGGCAGAGUUGAGUGGCAUUCAGAAGUAUUAUGUGGAAGAAAUAUCAUCGACUACAAUCUACCAAUUGUCACUUUAAAAAUUCCCAAAGAGACCU
rnacentral:lncRNA from 1 species